UUUUUCUUUUUUUUUUUUUCCUUUUUUAGGACUGCACCCACAACAUAUGGAGGUUCCCAGCCUAGGGGUCAAAUCGGAGCUGUAGCUGCUGGCCUACGCCAGAGCCACAGCAACGCCAGAUCCGACCUUCAUCUAUGACCUACACCACAGCUUAUGGCAAUGCCGGAUCCUUAACCCACUGAGCGAGGCCAGGGAACAAACCUGCAUUCUCCAUGUAUGCUAGUCAGAUUCAUUUCUGCUGAGCCAUGAUGGGAACUCCAUUAAUGGUAGUGUUUGCCUCUAAAAUUAUUGAUAUAUUUUUUUCUGAUUUGGGUAAUAUUUAUGUAAAAUACAUUAUGGUGCUACAUUUGAUUUCCCUGUAGAGAUGGUAAAUAUCUUUACAUUUUAAAUGCUUUAAGGGAGUUUCCAUUGUAGGCCAGUGGGUUAGGAGCCCGACUAGUAUCCAUAAAGAUGCAGGUUUGAUCCCUGGCCUUGCUCAGUGGGUUAAAAGAUCUGGCACUGCUGUGAACUGCAGUGUAGUUUGCAGAUGCAGCUCAGAUCCUGUGUUGCUGUGGCUGUGAUGUAGACUGGCAGCUGCAGCUCCUAUCGGACCCCUCUCCUGGGAACUUCCAUAUGCCACAGGUGCGGCCCUAAAUUAAAACAAACAAACAAACAAAUGCUUUAAUAUAUACUACAAGUAUCACAUUGUAUUUCAAGUCACAAAAUUAUUUACUGCAAAUUUAAAAGAAGGAAUCCUAAUUUCUCCUUUUUAAAAUACAACUUAAAAUAUCUAGUUGCAUUCUUUCUUGUUUAAAAUCCUUUUUUGGAGGGUUUCAUAAUUUCAUUAUGUUUUUCAUUUUUGAGGAAUUAUUCUUUUUGUUCUAAGAAAAUGUAAUAUGUGGACACAGGAAUUGUCUUGGUAAUUUUCAAAAUUGUGUUGAUUUAAUCAAUCCAAUGUAUGCUGUAGUUAGGAGCUAUCUUCAUAAGAAGGCUUCAAAGUUGGGUUUUACUUUCAAUUAGCUUUUCAAUUAACUCGGAAGUGCUUCAUGGCUAAAAAUGUGUCCAAAUAAGAGCUUAAAAUAAAGGGGUCAUUUUGUGAGAAUACUGGCCAAGCACUUUUAAAGGAUUAUGUUCAUAAUAAAGAAAGGGUAAAUAUUAAAGAGGGAGUUCCUGUUGUAGUUCAGUGGACACGAACCCAACUAGUAUCCGUGAAGAGGAGGGUUCCCUGGCCUCGUUCAGUGGGUUAAGGAUCCUGCGUUGCUGUGAGCUGUGGUGUAGAUUGCACACUUGGCUCAGAUCCAGAGUUGCUCUGGCUGUGGUGCAGGCCAACAGCUGUAGCUCCGAUUUGACCCUUAGCCUGAGAACUUUCAUAUGCUGCAGGUACAGCCCUAAAAAGCAGUAAAUAAAUAAAUAUUAAAGAGAUGAGCUGCCUAAGGAUUUUUACAGCCUAUCAGAACCUGCCAAGACAGUAAUGGCCAACUGAGAUAAUCACCACUAAUAUUAUGGUAAACCUUCUUGUGUGCGUAUUUUGUGAAUAAGUCUGACUAUCCCGUUAUACUUUUUAUAGUUCUGGUUUCUAUCAAUUUUUUUUUUUUUUAAGAGCCGCAUAUGGAAAUUCCUGGGCUAAGGGUCAAAUCGGAGCUGUAGCUGCCAGUCCACACUACAGCCACAGCAAUGCAAGAUCCAAGCCGCAUCUGCAGCCUACUCACAGCAAAGCUGGAUCCUUUACAGCUCACUGCGAAGUUGAAUCUUUAACCCACUGAGUGAGGCCAGGGAUAGAACCUGUGUCACAUGGUUACUAGUCAGAUUCACUUCUGCUGAGCCACAGUGGGAACGUUGCAGACACGACUCGAAUCCCCAGUUGCUGUGGCUCUGCCGUAGGCCAGUGGCUACAGCUCCAAUUAGACCCCUAGCCUAGGAACCUCCAUAUGCCGAGGGAGCAGCCCAACAAAUGGCAAAAAGACAGACAAGAAAAAAAAAAAAAACUUUUAUCCGUGUGAAGUCCUAGCCACAGCAAUCAAACAAAUAGAAGAAAUAAAAGAUAUCCAAAUUGGAAGAUAAGAGGUAAAAUUGUCAAUCUAUGUAGAUGACAUGAUACUGUAUAUAGAAAACCCUAAGGACACCACAUAAAAACUUCUUGAAUUGAUCAACAAAUACAGCAAAAUAUCAGGAUACAAGAUUAACAUUCAGAAAUUGGUUGCAUUUCUGUAUACUAACAAUGAAAUAUUAUAAAAUGAAUAUAAAAAUACAAUACCCUUUAAAACCACACCCCCAAAAAUUAAAUACCUAGGAAUAAACCUAACAAAGGAGGUGAAAGACUUACAUGCUGAGAACUAUAAAACACUAAUCAAGGAAAUUAAAGAGGAUUCAAAGAAAUGGAAAGAUAUUCCAUGCUCCUGGGUUGGAAAAAUUAAUAUUGUAAAAAUGGCCAUACUACCCAAAGCUAUUUACAGAUUCAAUGCAAUCCCUGUCAAAGUACCCAUGACAUUUUUCACAGAACUAGAGUAAACAAUCCAAAAAUUUAUAUGGAACUACAAAAGACCCAGAAUUGCCAAAGCAAUCCUGAGAAACAAAAACCAAGCAGGAGGCAUAACUCUCCCAGACUUCAGGCAAUAUUACAAAGCCACAGUCAUCAAGACAGUGUGGUACUGGUACUAAAACAGAUAUACAGACCAGAGAACAGAUAGAGAACCCAGAAAUAAACCCAGACACCUAUGGUCAAUUAAUUUUUGACAAAGGAGGCAAGAAUAUAAAAUGGGAAAAAGACAGUCUUUUCAGAAAGUGGUGCUGGGAAAACUGGGCAGUUCCAUGUAAAUCAAUGAACCUGGAACACACCCUCACACUAUGCACAAAAAUAAACUCAAAAUGGCUUAAAGACAUAAACAUGAGACAAGACACCAUCAAAUUCCCUGAAGAGAAACAUAGGCAAAACAUUCUCUGACAACUGUACAAAUAUUUUCCUACGUCAGACUCCCAAGGCAACAGAAAUAAAAGCAAAAAUAAACCAAUGGGACCUAAUCAAACUGAUGAGCUUUUGCACAGUAAAGAAAAAAACAAACAAACAAAAGACAGCCUAUGGAAUGGGAGAAAAUAAUUUAAAAUGAUGCACCUGACAAGGGCUUAAUCUCUAAAAUAUACAAACAACUAAUAAAACUCAACAACAAAAAAAAACCCAACAACCCAAUUGAAAACUGGGCAUUUCUCCAAAGAAUAUAUACAGAUGGCCAACAAACUCAUGAAGAAAUGCUCAACACCACUAAUUAUUAGGGAAAUGCAAAUCAAAAAUACUGUGAGGUACCACCUCAUACCAGUCAGAAUGGCCAUCAUUAACAAGUCAACAAAUAACAAAUGCUGGAGAGGGUAUGGAGAAAAGUGUGGACUCUCACACUGCUGGUGGGAAUGUAAAUUGUACAACCACUGUGGAAAACAGUAUGGAGAUACCUCAGAAAGCUAAAUUAGAACUACCAUCUGACCCAGCAAUCCUACUCUUGGGCAUAUAUCCAGACAAAACUUUACUUGAAAAAGAACAUACAUGCGCCUGUAUGUUCAUUGCAUCACUAUUCACAGCAGGCAAGACAUGGAAACAACUUAAUGUCCACCAACAGAUGAAUGGAUUCAGAAGA
rnacentral:lncRNA from 1 species